UACGAAGGGGGGCGAGCGUUGUUCGGAAUUACUGGGCGUAAAGGGCGCGUAGGCGGCCCCUUUUGUCGCGUGUGAAAGCCCCGGGCUCAACCUGGGAACGGCGCGCGAAACGGGGGGGCUUGAGUUCGGGAGAGGAGAGUGGAAUUCCCAGUGUAGAGGUGAAAUUCGUAGAUAUUGGGAAGAACACCCGUGGCGAAGGCGGCUCUCUGGGACGGUACUGACGCUGAGACGCGAAAGCGUGGGGAGCGAACAGG
rnacentral:rRNA from 1 species